AAUGAAAGCUAAAAUUCUGAUCUAUUGUAUCAUAUCAAACCCAAAAUGUCUUCAGUGUAUAGCAAAAACAAAAGAAAUGGACAAUGUUUCAAAAGGGGGGAUGUUUCAACUGCUGCUGAUUCUUUUUGUGAAAAUGUGACUAAUAUAUCAUAUGACUAAUAAUGUGGGAAAAGCUAUUAAGGUGCCUAGGUCUACCCAACCAAAACCAGAGGGGCCCUUUAACAACUGAUGAUGAUGCGACAGGGCAACCAGCAACCUGGAUUGACAGGGCAACUUGUCAUGCAUUGACAUGCAUGCUCAUCAAUCAAACCCCAGAACAAGUUGACACUGUAGGUACCAUGCAUCCAGACAAAAAAGCACUCUUUUAUUAAAGCUGUUUUACAGUAACUAGAAGAAUGUAACAUGACUAUACCUCACCUCCGUGAACUAUCAAAAGGACUUCACCAGCCUUUGUCCAGCCUCUCUGCUGGUCUAAUGCCUUGAUGGAUCGUGAAAGGGAGGAACUUUCUCCCUCUUAGGCUGAUCAUCACAUGUGAUGUGGCUGCAAAAAGGACACCGACUUUUCUCUCCUCUGAGAGCACAAUGAUAGAAUGGCUCACAUCUCUCAGUGGUGUAAAAUCAACCAAUGUUACUAUGACACUCUUUUGAGUUUGAAAGGUUUGUCUUGGGAGAACUCAAAAUAGGGCUCUUUAUUAUUUUUUUAUAUUUUCCUUCACUUUUCAGUGAUUUUAUAUCUAUGAAUAUCUAUGAAUAUGCACGUGCACACACACACACACACACAUUUCUGUUCUGCUCAGCUCUCUCUAGUCACUCUUGUCUCUGCCCCUUUUAUCUUUGCUGCCACUGGUGCAGGUCAUUAACACUCACUUUCCCGGCUCCACCCUCCACAGUUACCGAGUAGCAUUGCACAUGUUUUUGUUCUUCAUAUUUUUCCAUUUUUCCAUUUUACUUUCAUUUUUACUGGUAAAACAGCUUCUUUCAGCUUUGUUAUAUGGCCAGGCCUCAGCGAGUUAUGAAGUGAAAUGAAAUGCAUCAGGAAACAUAUUCAUGGAUGGCUCAUGGAAAUUGCACAAAUGCAUGAAGACAGCCUAAAAUGCACUGCAGGAAAGAUAGUGUUUACUGUUAUUUCUCUUAUAGUUUUACUGUGUUGAGUAUUUUGAACUUGCAAAUUGUUUGGUUAAAAUCAGCAUUCUUUUAACCUGUUCUUUCAGUACACUGGCAUUCCAUUCCACCGGCAGAAUGGAAAUUGACUUAUCGGACAUUUCAAUCAGUAUAAACAAAUAAAUUAUUUUAUCGCUGCAGGUCUGUUAUAAGAUUAGUCAAGACACUGUUUGGUUUCUGUCUGUAGAGUAUCGUGACUCUAUGUUUAGAUGCUGGUGAGCAGGGCGAUGGGAAAUGGGAAGGGUGUGAGCCCCAUGCUGGGCAAACAAUUCACACCUCUCCAGAAUAACAUUGGUACAGAGAUAAAACAGAUAGCACAACUAAAGCUUUUUUUGAUUGAAAUCUGUGAACUCAGCUGAUACGAGCUGUGAGCUAUUAUCAGAGACCACCUCCUCAGGUAACCCAUAGGCUGCAAAUAGCCCUCAGAGUGCUUCAAUGGUAAGUGAGGACGUAAUAGAUGACAUUGGAACAACCUCUAGCCAUUUUUAAUGCCUGUCAAUCACUACUAGGAAAAACUGUUUGUCUUUUUCCGCAAAAUCAAUGUGGAUUCUCUUCCCUGGGUGCUCAGGCCAUCUCCACGGAUGAAGGGGUGCCACGGCUGGCAACUUUUGUACUGCCUGACAGCAGUGACAGCUCCACACUUUCUUCUCAAUGCAUCCUGGCCACCACAGGUAGCUGCGAGCAAGAGCCUUCAAAUGGCAGAUCCCUGGAUGCUCAUGAUGUAACCAUCCAGUAGUCUCGAUCUGUACUGGGGCAGAAUUAUGACCUGCAUUCCCCAGUGAACACAGCCUUGAUCCUCAGUCAGCUCAUGUCUGCAUGCAAAGUAAGGGUUUCAAUCUCUCCUCAGAAACAUAGUUGGGCCAGCCAUUCACAGUGUAAUCCCACACAUUGCAUAGUGCUAAAUCUUUCUGUGUUGCUUGUGCUAUGUCCCUGGCACACACAGGAAGCUCUUCCACAUGAGAAAAGUAAAACAUAUGUAGGAUUUUAAGUAAAUAGGCAGCAAGAAAACUGUAAAACAAUGAUUCCUCACUCACAGACACUGAAGAGCCAUGUUUAUUACCACCUGCCUAAUUUCAGCUAUCCUGUGAAAAACAGAGCAAACAUUAGAACAUCCCUGACCAGAGGAUGGCCCAUCUCAGCCAAGAGGAACCCUGUCAAACCUAUUGAUUUAGGCCAUUGACCCGAUUCACAGGAUAACAUCCAAGGGCCCUCAGCCAUAAAUCUGAUAACCUAAGGCCAAAAGGGGGGUGACUCACCCAGGGAGGCCUAAAGAAAGAAUCAACACAGACUGGCCUUCUGGACUGAGACCCUUUUGUUCUUUCCCCCAGGAACACAAUUAAAGGUUCUCACCACCAGUCACACAUUCCAAAGAACCCAGCUUUAACAAAUGCAUCAGGUUAUCUUACAUCUCCUGAAAGGACAAUGACUCUGUAGGAAUUCAGGGAUCAUCAAACCAAAAAAUUGACUCUCGACUCAAACCACACACAGGACAAACAAAGACAUUCCUUUAUGAAGAACAGACCAGAGAUGGCUCCAGCAUGUCUAGGAUUAAAUGACAAGCUGUAAAUGAUGAUGGAUGCUAAUAGCCACAGGGAUGUGUGAAGCUACAAUAAAAGGCUGUAAUUCACACAUCCAGGUUGAUUUGCAAAUUUAAAUACCUCAUACCACAAGUUUAUUAUAAGCAUCAAGGACAAAUAAGACCAAAUUAUAAUGGGAAAUCGAGAGGUAUGUGACCUAAAGGGUCGCAUGCUAAUUAGCUGGAGGGCCAGGCAAACUAGUCACCAAUUGCCUUUAAGCUGAUCUUUGGUUGGCUGAAACCCCUAGUUGGGCUGGUUUAGCCAAACUGCUUAAAAACCUUAUGGCCAAGCAAAUCAUUGAACUGGAAGAACCCCAAGGCUGUCUUCAUUGGCAUCGUCCGGCUCAUCUCUUUGCUCGGCUGUCCAGUCUCCAUCCACUCUCUCCGUCGACAGUGAAUUACUUCCCCAAAAUUCUACAACUCCAAGGAAGCUAUUACUGUCGAUACUGAGGAGCAAGGAGACACAGCCCUGAUCAGAGGCCAGUAACAGCAGUGACGCCAAGGAAUACCUCGUGCUGAGGCCCAUCUCUGCAACCCCAGACUGCCACCAACGACCACCCUGACCCACACCUGCACUUCCAUGCCUCCCUCUUUCAUCUGCACCUUAUUCUUUUUUUCUAAAAUAAACACAAACCUUGGCACUUA